AACCCUUGUCCUUAGUUACCAGCACGUUAUGGUGGGCACUCUAAGGAGACUGCCGGUGACAACCGGAGGAAGUGGGGAUGACGUCAAGUCAUCAUGGCCCUUACGGCCUGGGCUACACACGUGCUACAAUGGUCGGUACAAAGGGUUGCCAAGCCGCGAGGUGGAGACUAAUCCCAUAAAACCGAUCGUAGUCCGGAUCGCAGUCUGCAACUCGACUGCGUGAAGUCGGAAUCGCUAGUAAUCGUGAAUCAGAAUGUCACGGUGAAUACGUUCCCGGGCCUU
rnacentral:rRNA from 1 species